GGUUAAGUGAAUAAGGGCGCACGGUGGAUGCCUUGGUACUAGGAGCCGAAGAAGGACGGAACUAACACCGAUAUGCUUUGGGGAGCUGUAAGUAAGCUAAGAUCCAAAGAUUUCCGAAUGGGGGAACCCAACACCUUUCAUAGGGUGUUACCAAUGAGUGAAUACAUAGCUCAUUAGGAGGUACACGCAGGGAACUGAAACAUCUCAUUACCUGCAGGAAGAGAAAGAAAAAUCGAUUCCCUGAGUAGCGGCGAGCGAAACGGGAGGAGCCCAAACCAACGAGCUUGCUUGUUGGGGUUGUAGGACUAGAACGUGAGAAGAAAUCAAGAUAGCAGAAGUGGUCUGGAAAGGCCCAUCAAAGAAGGUGACAAUCCUGUACGCGACAUCUUGAUGAACUCUACUAGCAUCCUGAGUACGGCGGGACACGAGGAAUCCCGUCGGAAUCCGCCAGGACCAUCUGGCAAGGCUAAAUACUACCUAGUGACCGAUAGUGAACCAGUACCGUGAGGGAAAGGUGAAAAGAACCCCGGGAGGGGAGUGAAAGAGUACCUGAAACCGUGUGCUUACAAGUAGUCAGAGCCCGUUAAUGGGUGAUGGCGUGCCUUUUGUAGAAUGAACCGGCGAGUUACGUUUACAUGCGAGGUUAAGAUGAAGAGUCGGAGCCGUAGCGAAAGCGAGUCUGAAUAGGGCGCAUGUAGUAUGUGGACGUAGACCCGAAACCAAGUGAUCUACCCAUGUCCAGGUUGAAGGUGCGGUAAAACGCACUGGAGGACCGAACCAGGGCACGUUGAAAAGUGCUUGGAUGAGGUGUGGGUAGCGGAGAAAUUCCAAUCGAACUUGGAGAUAGCUGGUUCUCUCCGAAAUAGCUUUAGGGCUAGCCUCGGAAUCAAGAAUCGUGGAGGUAGAGCACUGUUUGGACUAGGGGCCCAUCUCGGGUUACCGAAUUCAGAUAAACUCCGAAUGCCAUGUAUUUAUAUCCGGGAGUCAGACUGCGAGUGAUAAGAUCCGUAGUCGAAAGGGAAACAGCCCAGACCACCAGCUAAGGUCCCAAAAUAUCUGUUAAGUGGAAAAGGAUGUGGGGUUGCACAGACAACUAGGAUGUUGGCUUAGAAGCAGCCAUCAUUCAAAGAGUGCGUAAUAGCUCACUAGUCGAGUGACCCUGCGCCGAAAAUGUAACGGGGCUAAACAGAUUACCGAAGCUGUGGAUUGGACCUUAUGGUCCAGUGGUAGGAGAGCGUUCUAAGGGCGGUGAAGCAUGAUCGUAAGGACAUGUGGAGCGCUUAGAAGUGAGAAUGCCGGUAUGAGUAGCGAAAGACGGGUGAGAAUCCCGUCCACCGAAUAACUAAGGUUUCCUGGGGAAGGCUCGUCCUCCCAGGGUUAGUCGGGACCUAAGGCGAGGCCGAUAGGCGUAGUCGAUGGACAACAGGUUGAUAUUCCUGUACUUCUAUAAAUCGUUUGAGCAAUGGAGGGACGCAGGAGGCUAAGAAAAGCGUACGACUGGAAGUGUACGCCCAAGCAGUGAGUCGGCUGAUGAGUCAAAUGCUUAUCACACAUGCGACGAGCUGUGACGGGGAGGGAAGUUUAGUACCGAAGUUUCUGAUGUCACACUGCCGAGAAAAGCUUCUAGCAAGAUUUAUAGGACCCGUACCGCAAACCGACACAGGUAGUUGAGGAGAGAAUCCUAAGGUGAGCGAGCGAACUCUCGUUAAGGAACUCGGCAAAAUGACCCCGUAACUUCGGGAGAAGGGGUGCUGGUAGCAAUACCAGCCGCAGUGAAUAGGCCCAGGCGACUGUUUAUCAAAAACACAGGUCUCUGCAAAAUCGAAAGAUGACGUAUAGGGGCUGACGCCUGCCCGGUGCUGGAAGGUUAAGAGGAGAGGUUAGCGCAAGCGAAGCUUUGAAUUGAAGCCCCAGUAAACGGCGGCCGUAACUAUAACGGUCCUAAGGUAGCGAAAUUCCUUGUCGGGUAAGUUCC
rnacentral:rRNA from 1 species